rnacentral:misc_RNA from 1 species
UUUCCGUAGGUAUGUUAAGCAUCGAGUUCCUUCCUUUUCGUGACAUUUCGCUAACUUGUGUCGUAGGUGAACCUGCGGAAGGAUCAUUACUGAGUUAGGGUCUUCUGGCCCGACCUCCAACCCUGUGUCUACCUUACCACGUUGCUUCGGCGGGCCGGCCGACAGGAUCUGUCGGCUGCCGGCGGGCUUAACCCCCGCUGGACAGUGCCCGUCGAUGGCCAACCUCCAAAACUCUUGAAGAACCAUGUCGUCUGAGUACCAAACUAAAUAAAAGUAAAAACUUUCAACAACGGAUCUCUUGGUUCUGGCAUCGAUGAAGAACGCAGC